UUUAAAAUUUUAAUCGAUAAACUUUUGUGAUCAGUCUCGAAAGAUACUCGUAGAAAAAUAUGCAAUUGAAUGAUAUAAGUAAAAUGAUUCCGCUUAUUGAAAAAUUAUUGAAACAUUGAAUGCUGCGACAAGUAUUUUGCGGAGAAAAGUAAUUGAACAAAUAGAAGACUGGAGGCUGAUUUCGAAUCCGAUUUUCAAUCGAAAGUUACGCGAGUGACGAGAAAAUUUCUCGAUGGUUCUUCGUGGUUUGCUGGCACCAGCGGCGGCGCGAUGGACACGAAAUAAAACAAGGGGUCAAGAGAAGCAGGCUGCUGGACAGUUAGGAUUAUCACGUUAUGGACCGCAGGUGAUGAGUGUAUUGUGUUUAUGCACCACAGUACAUCAGACCAGUCAGAACAACAAUCAAGCAAGCAAAAUACUUUCAAACACAUCACCAAUCUCAUCUGAAGAAGAAAAUAUAAACUCGUUGCAGGAAAUACCCACCGACGAACUGGCUCUAUUAGCUAAGCUGGAGGAAGCCAAUAGGCUUAUCGAAUCGGAUGCAAAAUCGUUGAAUUCGCUCCAAAGUAAUCACAGUAGGAAAGGUUCUGACACAUCUCAAGUAUCUGUGGCGUCGGGGGGCAGCGGAGGAAAUGGCGAUGCUGCACCCCGACGCCACAAUUCAGCUGAUGGUGAAGAGAACACAUGGACCCUAUGGGGUCAUAUCGUCGCUGAUUGGGAUUAUCAUUGGAAGAAGAGGAAAGAAUUCGUCAAAGAAUUAGUGCGUCAAGGAAUACCUCAUCAUUUUAGAGGUAUUGUUUGGCAGUUAUUAAGUGGUGCUCAUGACUCUCCUGUGAAAAAACAAUUCGCUGAGUAUAUCAAGGCCACGUCCGCAUGCGAAAGGAUAAUCAGAAGGGAUAUAGCCAGAACGUAUCCUGAGCAUGAUUUUUUUAAGGAAAAAGAUGGGCUUGGCCAGGAAAGUUUAUUUAAUGUUAUGAAAGCAUAUAGUCUUCAUGAUCGUGAAGUGGGAUAUUGUCAAGGUUCGGGAUUUAUUGUAGGAUUACUUCUUAUGCAGCAAAUGCCAGAAGAAGAAGCUUUCGCUGUACUGGUAGCGCUUAUGCAAGAGUAUCGUUUGCGAGACAUGUUCAAGCCGAGUAUGGCUGAAUUAGGGGUGUGCAUGUAUCAGCUAGAACAUUUAGUUGCUGACACGCAUCCCGAGUUACACGCUCAUUUUGCGGCUCAAGGUUUUCAUACAUCGAUGUACGCAUCGUCUUGGUUUCUUACGCUUUUUACUACAACGCUCAGUCUAUCGCUGGCCUGCCGCAUUUUUGACGUGUUUCUAUCUGAAGGCAUGGAAAUUAUUUUCAAAGUUGCACUGGCCAUGUUACAUUUAGGCAAAGAAGAUUUAUUAAGCUUGGACAUGGAAGGCAUGUUGAAGUUCUUUCAGAAACAAUUACCUGGAAGAGCAGAGAAAGAUCCUGAUGGCCUCAUGAAUCUUGCUUAUAGUAUGAAAAUAAAUUCAAAAAGAAUGAAGAAACUUGAAAAAGAUUAUACCGUGUUGAAAAUGAAAGAGCAAGAAGAGAUGAUUGAGCUCCGUAGACUUAGAGCCGAGAAUAGAUUACUUAGACAAAGAACUGAACUUCUGGAAGCUGAAUCUGCAGAAUUGGCAGAUAGAUUAGUCAGGGGUCAAGUUUCCCGAGCAGAAGAGGAAGAAACUGCUUUCGUUGUACAAAGAGAAUUAGCAGCUCUUCGACAUACUCAUCUUGAAACCAGUCAUCAACUUGAACAAGCUCAUGAAGAAUUGAGAUCAUUGUCGCUUCUACUAGAAGAAAAUGUGACAUCAAAGCAAUCCUCUUUGGAUGAAAUUUUAUUAAAACAGGAAGCAUUGUCGCAAAAAGAAGAAAUGAUACAAUGUUUACAAGAAGAAUUAGUAAAGGUUCGAUUAUAUGAGGCAGAGAAUGAAGCAACGAUAAGAGAACUUAGAGCAAGAAUACAAGAAUUAGAAGAAGAUAAAAAAACAUUACGAGAAACAACACCGGAUAAUUCUGUUGCUCAUUUACAAGAAGAAUUAAUUGCAGUGAAACUAAGAGAAGCAGAAGCUAAUCUUUCUUUAAAGGAUCUUCGGCAAAGAGUAAUGGAAUUAAGCAGUGCCUGGCAAAGGCAUUUGCAAGAACAUCGUUCCGCUCAAACACAACCCGCAAGUGAUUCUACGCCGAAGAAACUUCUAUUUUGGGAGAAUCGGGGACAUGAAGUGCAAAAAUAUGAAGAAGAUUUAAUGACAACCAGAAUUCGAGAAAUGGAAGCUUUAACCGAGGUGAAAGAGCUUAGACUUAAAGUCAUGGAGCUUGAGACUCAAGUACAAGUUGCUACGAAUCAACUACGUCGACAAGACGAAGGUGGAAAAUUCAUUAAGGAUGAAUUAGAAGCUGCCUUAUCAAGAGAGAAAGAACUCACUACUAAAUUACGAGAGCAACAACAUAAAUAUUCUGAUUUAGAAUCAAAGAUGAAGGAUGAAGCUAUGAUGGCUAGGAUACGUGAUGCAGAGCAUGCGCAGCAAGUAGCAGAACUUACGCAAAAAAUAUCUCUCCUUGAGUUAAAAAAUGAAGAAAUGCAUGCGGAAGGUGAACUUAGAAAUAAUUUGGAUGACAGUGAAAGAGUCAGAGAAUUACAAGAUAAAGUUGCAGAAUUAAAAGCUGAGUUCCCUACGCCAAUCACCAGCCCGGAGACUGAGCCUUGGCGCUGGCUCGAGUAAGUCUUUAUCCAUCCGACAAUUCAUCUCAAUCUACAAUCAAGUGCUAUGAGAUUCAGAAAAACAUUAGAAUAACAAAUGUUCUUAUCUUUGAAUUUUGAUAUUCUAAUGUCUUUGGAUUUUUCUUUGAUACCUACACAUUUGUUCCCCCAUUACCUCGAUUUCUUGUGCUGUCUUACAAUUGUACAUGUAGCAGAGCACUCAGUUUGAUUCUCAUUUGGUCAUGAGGCUAGAAAGUUGGAAACAACGUUGGACAGGUCAUGGUGGACAAAAUGUAAGAAGUUUCAGUGUUGACACUGAAAGUGAAUUGGACGAGCGGGAUCUCAGAAUUUGUUUACAGGAUCAUAUCAAUGCGUCUACACAGAAUUCACCAGAGGUAUAGAAAUCCAUGUAUACCAAACAUUAGGCAGCUAAUUAUCUUUUGAACAUACACAGAAGUAUUCCAUUGUCAAAGCAAAUGGAACUUUUUACGUUUCAUGAUCAUGCUUUUCGAUGUAGAAAACGACAAAUUAUAACGCACAUAGAAUAUUAUAAAUCAAGAACACAUAGAGAUAAUAGCGAUAUUAUGUUUUUAGUUAACGUAUAAUAUCACUAUAGCUCGUGAUAUAUUAACAGCAUAGUAGCGAUUAACUAGGUAUAAUCUGGUGGUCAUUAAUAACUCAAUAUAAAACUAUCUGACCCGAAUCGAUUACUGCAAAUAGACUUCGAAAUUUUUGCAAAUAUGCUCUUUUAAUGUAUAAACAGAAUGAUAUUUAAAUAUCUCAAUCUCUCUUAUAAAUACUUUAUUCUGAUAAUCAUAUAUAAUGAUAAUAUUAUGUUUGUGAUUUUUAUUAUUUUAUCUUAAACUUUUAUUGAACUGGGAGCCAUUAUCGAUUUAUUCUAUUGAUUUUUAUGAUCAAUAAUACACAUUUCGAAGUCUGUUUACAAUCGACAAGUACUAUAGAUUAAAUAUAAUUAUGUGACGCAUAAACGACACGUUUUUAUACGUAUUACGCAUUCUGUGUAUUUUUUGUAAUUUAAACCAAAUGUAAUUCCAUUUAAGGAAUUGUAUAUUGAAUAGAAUGAAAUCCGUCAUUGGGAAAAUCAAUAAAUUAUGAUUGUCUUUUGCGAAGGAAAGAAUGAGAGAAAAAAAAAAUGAAAAGACUCAACAAAACAAUCAAAAAAACAUUUUUCCUGAUACGACGGUAUACUUAGAGUCUCAUUAAUGGGUCGCAGUAAUAUAUUACUCCGAUUGUAGAAUUCUACAGAAAAACUAAAACAAUAACAACAAGAACAAAAUACAGACAUGUAAAAUGAUAAAAUGUAUGAGUAUGCCAAAUACUCUAGAUUCAUCAGUAUUCUUAUUGCGAAUAUUUGCAUAUUUGUUAUACGUUCUCGAAAUGAAGAAACGACACGAGAUUGAUUCAAACAUUCAGUUCAACUAUAAAGCAAAGAAUUUUCUUAAAAGCAACAUAAUACAUAAAACAUAUAAACAAUA